rnacentral:rRNA from 1 species
AUUGAACGCUGGCGGAAUGCUUUACACAUGCAAGUCGAACGGCAGCACGGGGGCAGCCCUGGUGGCGAGUGGCGAACGGGUGAGUAAUACAUCGGAACGUGCCCGGUCGUGGGGGAUAACGUAGCGAAAGUUACGCUAAUACCGCAUACGAUCUGAGGAUGAAAGCGGGGGACCUUCGGGCCUCGCGCGGUCGGAGCGGCCGAUGUCAGAUUAGGUAGUUGGUGGGGUAAAGGCCUACCAAGCCGACGAUCUGUAGCUGGUCUGAGAGGACGACCAGCCACACUGGGACUGAGACACGGCCCAGACUCCUACGGGAGGCAGCAGUGGGGAAUUUUGGACAAUGGGCGCAAGCCUGAUCCAGCCAUUCCGCGUGCAGGACGAAGGCCUUCGGGUUGUAAACUGCUUUUGUACGGAACGAAAAGGCUCUGGCUAAUACCUGGGGCUCAUGACGGUACCGUAAGAAUAAGCACCGGCUAACUACGUG